CGGUCAGACGGAAAGACCCCGUGAACCUUUACUAUAGCUUCGUAUUGACUUUGGAUAAGUAAUGUGUAGGAUAGGUGGGAGACUACGAAAUGGCGUCGCUAGGCGUUGUGGAGUCGUUGUUGAAAUACCACCCUUUGCUUAUCUGAAGCCUAACCUCUCACGAGGAACAGUGCGUGGUGGGUAGUUUGACUGGGGUGGUCGCCUCCAAAAGAGUAACGGAGGCUUCUAAAGGUACCCUCAGCACGCUUGGUAACCGUGCGUAGAGUGCAAUGGCAUAAGGGUGCUUGACUGAGAGACAUACAGGUCGAUCAGGUUGGAAACAAGAGCAUAGUGAUCCGGUGGUUCCGCAUGGAAGGGCCAUCGCUCAAAGGAUAAAAGGUACUCCGGGG
rnacentral:rRNA from 1 species